rnacentral:rRNA from 1 species
AAUAGAUACCCUGGUAGUCCACGCCGUAAACGAUGAGUACUAGGUGUGGGAGGGUCCAACCUUCUGUGCCGCAGUUAACACAAUAAGUACUCCGCCUGGGAAGUACGAUCGCAAGAUUAAAACUCAAAGGAAUUGACGGGGGCCCGCACAAGCAGCGGAGCAUGUGGUUUAAUUCGAAGCAACGCGAAGAACCUUACCUGGACUUGACAUCCCCUGAAUUACUCGUAAUGGAGGAAGCCCUUCGGGGCAGGGAGACAGGUGGUGCAUGGUUGUCGUCAGCUCGUGUCGUGAGAUGUUAGGUUAAGUCCUGCAACGAGCGCAACCCUUAUCAUUAGUUGCUACCAUUAAGUUGAGCACUCUAGUGAGACUGCCCGGGUUAACCGGGAGGAAGGUGGGGAUGACGUCAAAUCAUCAUGCCCCUUAUGUCCAGGGCUACACACGUGCUACAAUGGUGAGUACAAUUAGAUGCAAACCCGCGAGGGGGAGCCAAACUAAAAAACUCAUCCCAGUUCGGAUUGUAGGCUGAAACUCGCCUACAUG